UGUGGUCGAAAAAUCAAUGAAAACAAAAAAAAUAAAAAAAAUUAAAAGAUAAGAUCUUUUUUUAGUUAUUUUUUUGAGCUUAUUGAAUUUUUUUUAAAAAAAUAUAAUAGUAAAAAAAGAUUAUAAUAAUUUUUUUUAAUUUUUGAUUAAGAAGAAAACUUUUUUUUCUUUCUUUAAAUUCUUAAUUAAGAAGAAAAAAUAUACGUUAUUUUUUUUCUCUUUUUAUCAAUAUUUUUUCUUUUCUUUUCUUCUCCAAACUCCCAAAUAAAGUGUUAAGUUUAUUCAAUUAAAUGGCAGGUC
rnacentral:lncRNA from 1 species